CCAGACUGCAGCAUACCAAUCUCAUAUUCGAGUGUCACAAUAGUAAAUCUACUGUACAUAAUUUGAAAUUUGAAACUAUGGAUACUCAAACUACCGUUCUAUCUGUGCUAUACUAUAUAUAACUCUAUCAAACUGUAAUAACUCAUGAACAUUAACAGGAAACGACACGAAUCAAACACAGGAGUUACUGGUUAACGAAGUUUCUGAUAUGGGUUAUCAUUUCUUGGGUUCGGGAAUGUGAAAGCUGGUAAUUAUGCAGCACUUGGAAGGCAUGGCCUACGCCUUUGAAAAGAACUGUUUCAACCCUUUUUCCUGCUUUAGCCAAAGCUUUUGAGAACUCCAAGUUCCUAUCUUUCAGUAUAUCCAUUUCUGAAACGCACACCAUAAUGGAAGAAACCCUCAAAUCUCUCAACUUGACCGUGCCAUGUGCAAGAGGGUUGCAAUAUGGGUGGUCACGGGUGGCUCCAAGAGGAAGCGCCAAGCGCCAGUAAGUGUCGGAAACGGAUAAAGUGAGCGCCGAAUUGGGUGGCUGAAGGAAAUGCUUCUCAGAGCUAGUUCUUUCUUCUCCUCCGAAGAAAGGUUGGAUCAGUAUGACACCCUUGAGGGAUAAUGGUGUUGUCGUGUUUGAUGAUGAUGAUGAUCCCAUGCGGGUGGCCACAUUAUAAGCUAUGUUGGCGCCUGCACUAUCACCGGCGAGGAAAACGGAAGACAUGUCGCAGUGAGUCAGCCACCACUUUUGCGCACUAGAGAUGUUCUGUGCUUCUCUUUUGACCCACGCGAGAGCGUUGAAACCGUCAUCGUAUGCCACGGGAAGACGAUUCUCUGGGGCUAAGUGAUAAUCCACAGAGAGAAUGACACAGUUUGCUUUGGAAGCAAGGUUGGUCAAGAACUCGUGGUAACAGCUCCAAGCAGCGGAACCAACACAGAAUCCACCACCGUGGAAGUACACAAUCAAAGGAAGAGCCUUUGUGUGAUAACUCAUUGAAGGAGACAGUAGGCACAAUCGGUGGUCUCUCUACACGUCCAUCUCUGUGGACUCUAAUGAGUCCUUGGAUCUCUUCGGUGAUGAUUUCACGUUGCUGGUUGGUGUUGUUCACUUGAGGGUUAUGCCUGAGUGAAAUGGUAGCCAUGAUAUUGUUGAAGAGUGAAAAUCUAAACUCUCCUUAAUUUUGAUCGAUGCUAUGUGGUUUGGUCCUUUUAUAGAAGAUUAGAGAAUAAAGAGAAGGGAAGCUGAGCAAUUGGAAGGGUUGAAGUUGGAAAGAAGCUUCAUUCUGAUAGCCAUGUGCUGUUAUGAAGAUUCCCGCGUGAAGUUUUAAUAUUU
rnacentral:sRNA from 1 species